UGUAUCGGAACGUACCCAGUCGUGGGGGAUAACUAUCCGAAAGGAUAGCUAAUACCGCAUACGUCCUGAGGGAGAAAGCGGGGGAUCGCAAGACCUCGCGCGAUUGGAGCGGCCGAUAUCGGAUUAGCUAGUUGGUGGGGUAAAGGCUCACCAAGGCGACGAUCCGUAGCGGGUCUGAGAGGACGACCCGCCACACUGGAACUGAGACACGGUCCAGACUCCUACGGGAGGCAGCAGUGGGGAAUUUUGGACAAUGGGGGAAACCCUGAUCCAGCCAUUCCGCGUGAGUGAAGAAGGCCUUCGGGUUGUAAAGCUCUUUCAGCAGGAACGAAACGGUCGGCUUUAAUACAGUCGGCUAAUGACGGUACCUGCAGAAGAAGCACCGGCUAACUACGUGCCAGCAGCCGCGGUAAUACGUAGGGUGCGAGCGUUAAUCGGAAUUACUGGGCGUAAAGCGUGCGCAGGCGGCGACAUAAGACAGAUGUGAAAUCCCCGGGCUCAACCUGGGAACUGCGUUUGUGACUGUGUUGCUAGAGUGUAGCAGAGGGGGGUGGAAUUCCACGUGUAGCAGUGAAAUGCGUAGAGAUGUGGAGGAACACCGAUGGCGAAGGCAGCCCCCUGGGUUAACACUGACGCUCAUGCACGAAAGCGUGGGGAGCAAACAGGAUUAGAUACCCUGGUAGUCCACGCCCUAAACGAUGCCAACUAGGUGUUGGGGAAGGAGACUUCCUUAGUACCGUAGCUAACGCGUGAAGUUGGCCGCCUGGGGAGUACGGUCGCAAGAUUAAAACUCAAAGGAAUUGACGGGGACCCGCACAAGCGGUGGAUGAUGUGGAUUAAUUCGAUGCAACGCGAAAAACCUUACCUACCCUUGACAUGUCCGGAAUCCCGAAGAGAUUUGGGAGUGCUCGAAAGAG
rnacentral:rRNA from 1 species